GAGUCAGCGCCGUAAAAAGCAAAUUCCCUCACGUCUAAGUUAGGGUCGCGUAUUGUAUUUCGAUUCAACCGUGCAAACUUUAAAAACUGUGAAAAUUGAUUUCCGUUUUGGUUUUGGUUUGGCUUGGCUGGUUUGUUUGUUUGUUUUAAUCCCUAAAAGCUAAGCCAAAAAAUACAGAGCGAUAAAAAGAAAAUCAAACAAUUUAAUCAAUACGAAAGAAACCUGAAUGGUCGGCCACCAAAUCCUUCUCUCAGUUUAAUUAAAAAUAAACACACACACAACUGGUUGAAUUACAUGGGAUAUUCUCAAAAUUACAGAGAAUAUUGUUGAUGCACGAAACCGAGGUCGCAGGUUCGAAAGCCGGGAAAAAUAAAACACAACAAUUCGCAGGGACUAUUAUUUUCCAUGAGAAAAUGCUGGAUCUCAGAAUCGCGAUGGAUGAGCAGAAACAGCAAUUUCAUAAUGGGGAGCUUAGCUCCGUCCACAAAGCCACGCCAGGGUUUCGAGAUAAGGAACGUAGAAGCGCAGAGGUCACAGUUUCGAAGCUUCCGAGGAUUAGCCGUUCGAAAUUCGAGAGAGCGUGCAGAGAUUAUAAGGACGGGGUUGUGAAGCCUACGGAUAGAAUGUAUAGGCUCGUGCAGAUACGAUUGUGUUUUAGAGAGAGGAAAUGUACCAGGAACGGCAAGCUUUUGGCUGUAGAAGGUAAAAUUGCAGCAGUAGAAGGAAGUAUUUUGGCAGCUGAGGGUAGAAUUUUGGCAGGGGAUGGGAAAAGUUUGGACGAUGGUUUGAGGAGAUCUUUGAAAGGAGGCAAUAGGGAUGGACAUCGAAAUAAGGAGCAGGUUGAGGAAUUGGAUUCCGGUAAUAAGAAGAAGAGGAAGAAGAAGAAGAAGGAGGAGGCUAAGAGUGAUUCGCCUGUUUUUUCUCAGAAUAAAGUACAUUCUGGAGCGAAGAUUCAAGAAAGGAUUGGUAAGGGAGAGGCUCAGAGGGAAAUUGUUGAAGAGAGUAAGAAGCCAGAGAAACGUAAAGCGAUAAUUAAAUCGAGUGAGGAUCCAGCAACUAAAUCAACUGAUGAGGCAAAACAUAAGGUGAAACGGCAGAGAUUAGGGAAGGGGAAUGUACAAGGUGAGGGAAAGGUCGGAUUGGUUGAAGAGAGAUUUGUAAAUGGGGAAGGCGGAGAGCCUCAAAAUAAUCAGAGAAAGAGGCAGAGGAAGCAAAUGUCAGGGGAUGCACAUUUGGAAGUGGUUGGAAGAAAAGUAACAGGGGCUGCAAAUGGAGACAUCUCUGCAACAAUGAAGUUGUCUAAUCCCAUAAAGAAAGAACGAUUGGCAGCAUCAGCUAUGUCUCAGGCAGCAGUAUCAUUUGCCAAUCCUGUCAAAAAAGAGAGAUUGGCAUCUUCAAGUACAUCUCAGGUAGAGGUAUCUGUGACUAACUCUAUCAAGAAAGAACGAUUGACAGCUUCAAGUACAUCGCAGGCAGAGGUAUCGCUCAGGGAGUGUUCAGGAAAGGAAGUGGUAAAGAAAACUAGAGCUAGGGGUGUGCCAAUGACUACUUCUGUGGAAGAACCUGAACUAAGAAAAACCACAGAAAAAGAUGUUAAGGAGGAUGGUCUCUUGCAAAACCAUAACAAAGAAGAAUCGAAAGGAAUAGAUGCUACAAGAAAUGAGUUAAAAACUAGUGAGUUCUGUAUCAGCUUACAGAAGAGGGAAACUUCUGGUCAUGUAGGCAAUGCCAGGCCUUUGGGAGAGGAUGUUGCCUUGACAGAGGUUCAGAAACUUGCAGAUGGUUUUGAUGAUCAGAAAAAAGAAAUUUUGACUCAUGAAAAUAUUAAUGCUACUGACAUCCCUAUCGUUGAAGGGAUAAUUACUGAUAAAAAUAGUCCAACGAGUGUGCUUACAGAAGCCGAAGGAAACAAAGAUUCCAAGAAUCUUAGAGCAGUGCCUGAAAAACUGCCGAGUGCAUGGGUUCAAUGUGAUAAGUGCACAAAAUGGCGUCAGAUACCUGUUGAAUUAGCUGAGUAUAUAGACAUAACAAACCCUAGAUGGUGUUGCCAUGACAACUUGGACAAAGCUUUUGCUGACUGUUCUGUGCCACAAGAAAAGUCCGAUGCUGAAAUUAAUGCAGAACUCAAUAUUUCUGAGAGUUCCAACUGCAAUGAAAAUGACAACUCAGAUGGCCAGGUAGAUUCAAAGGCUCUUCAGAAGGGUCAUAUCGAAGUGGCUCAGCAAUAUGUAUGGACAUCAAUUGAGCACAACAUUUAUGUUAAUAGGUGCCGAAAGAGCCCAACAAUUGACGAGAUAAUGAUCUGUCAGUGUAAAGCUCCUGAUGGUGGCACCCCUGGGUGUUGUGGGGAUGAUUGCUUGAACCGUUCAAUGAAUAUUGAAUGUGUUCCUGGCACAUGCCCUUGUGGAGAUCUGUGUUCUAACCAAAGGUUUCAAAAGAAACUAUAUGCAAAGGUUAAGGAAAUGCGUUGUGGAAAGAAAGGUUAUGGGUUGCGGGUGUUGGAGGAUGUGCCAAGGACAACUUUUAUCAUAGAAUAUGUUGGAGAGGUCUUAGGUCCGCAAGAGCAUGGAAUGCGCUUAAAGGAGUAUGCAUGUCGAGGCCAUAAACAUUCUUACUUCAUGAAAAUAGAAAAUGAGUAUAUUGAUGCACGUGUAAAGGGAAACCUUGCCCGAUUUAUAAAUCAUAGCUGCGAUCCUAAUUGUUAUAUAGAAAAGUUUAAUGUAAAUGGUGAGGUGUGCAUUGGCUUCUUUGCAAAGAGAGAUCUUGUGAAGGGUGAAGAGCUUACAGCUGAUUAUAAUUUUCAACCAGCAUCUGGUGCAGCAGCCGAAAAAUGUGCAUGUGGGUCUACCAACUGUAGAGGGUUUAUUGGGGUUCUCAAAAAUCCAACAGAUGUAGUUGAGAAUGAGUCAGAUGGGGAAGAACCUCUACCAAUUAUGGUGAAAGAAGAAAGUGAGGAUGUAGCUACAGUUGUUGAUUGCCUCAAGUCAUCUCUAAUUGAGAAAACACAAGAUUGGCAUGAAUCUAAGAUUGAGGUCUCCAAUAAGGUUCAGUCAGUUUCAAUUGUGAAAAAGAUUCCCGCUGUUUUGAGUGGGGAUGGUAAAAGAGGUAUGGUGAAGAAGCUGAAACGAUCCAAGACAGUUCCUGCCUCAGAGAAAUCUAGUACUUUGAACUCAAAGGGGUUGGCUACAAAUAGAUAUUUUGAUGGAGGUAACAACAUGCCACUCAUUCAAGUUCGUAAAGUACAAGAUAUACUCAGUGAAAUGCUGGAUGUAGAUGGUGGAAUUGUAAAGCGAAGGGAUGUUGCAAAGCAUUACUUAAAGCUUUUGGUUGUAACAGCCGCAUCAGGUGAUGCAAAUGACGAGGCAUCUGGCAGUACAAGAGAUCUUUCAAUGGUUUUGGAUGCCCUACUCAAAACAAGGUCACGCUCUGUACUGGUGGAUAUUGCAAAUAAGAAUGGCUUUCAGCUGCUGCAUAAUAUGAUUAAGCAACACCAUAAGUUUCCUGUCAAAAUUCCUAUCAUUCGCAAACUUCUGAAGAUAUUGCAUGUUUUUGCAACCAAGAAGAUUUUCACUUCUGAACAGAUGAGUUCUAUUCCUUCACGUGAAGGAGUUGAAAGCUUUGAAGAGUCCAUUUGGAAGCUCACACGUCACGAAAACCCAGAGGUGCAAAAACUUGCUCGUCAAAUUAUAGAGACUUGGCGUAUUUCACCCAUUCGAAAAUCGUUUGAGGUAAAGCAAUCACCCCGUGGAUCUUCACUUGUUAAAGCCAACAAUCAAACCUGGAGAAAGGAAAAUCUUCCUUCAAAUUCGAAGGCGCCUUUUACAAACAAAUCCAACCUGUCAGGAAAACAUGAAGAUUGUACAAUUGCAGAUUGUGGGCAACUCAUGGAAGAGAAAGAAACUGCCAAAGUAACAGAAGAGAAAGAAAAGGGAAUAAUAUUUGAGCCUGUCAAUGAAUGGAAUUCAAAUGAGCAGAUCUACUCUAGAAAUGGUGAAAAUAAAUGUAAUCUGGGUGACUCAAGACAGUCCCUCGGAUCUGAGAAACAGUGGUCAGAUUCACCAUCAAAAGAUCAAAUUUCUGGAGAUUUUUCAUGUGUACAGGAACAAAAGAGCUUUCCUCCUGUUAAUGUUUCAGAGGAAAGACAGUGGCCCCAAGGUCCAAGGAGAAAAUUCUGUAACAAAAAUGACAGAUGGCCUCCAAGGUAUCCUUCAUCUCAUAGAAAUACGUUUUGUCAUGAAACAGGGUCUCAUGAGAGUAGACCAAGCCUUGCAGGUGGCACACAUACAUUGGACAAGAAAAAUGAACUGCAGAAUGGAGUUCAAGUACAAGUCAGCACAGCAGCAAUAGUAAAUUCAAACCAAAAUAUAAUCAUGCAGCCAGGACCAUCCCCUGUAGGAAUUAUUCCAUUUGUACCGCAAGAAAGUGUUGUUGGAAAUGGAUUAACACAGAUUUUUUCUCCGCAUAUGCCAGUGGCAUAUGGUAUACCUUUAGAACUCUUUCAGAAGCUUCAUGGCUUGCCUGUCUGCAAGUCAGUUGAUACAUCAGCAGCUCGAGGUAUGCAACCAAGAGAUUUUGGAGGAAUAAUGAGCACCACUCCUUGCCGUAUCCCAUGUGAGCAUUUCUCAAUGCAACAAACAACAAAUAUAGUGCGGCCAUUUCAUAGUUCUGGAUGUUCGGUUUCUCUUCCUGGAUUUCCUCCUGAUCCACGUACAUCAGCUGUACCAAUAGGUGCUCCAUUUGGUGUUCAUUCUGGACUUAGGCCACUUCCAUUCCACCAUAUAUCUCAGGCACCAGACAAUCAAAUACAUCGGCAGGGAUUUUUAUGUCAUUCCAAGAAGAGUGAACCAGAUGUUUUGGACCAAGAUACACUUGAACCUGAGCCCCCUGUGCCAGGGCUUUCACCGCCACGUUUGUCAGAAAGUUCUAACUCUACUCGUGCUUUGCCUCCUUUUGGUUCAGUGAAUGGAAGAAAGAAAACUUCUGAUUUUUUCAAAGGGAGGACUAGUUUGUUGUAUAACAAGGAUAGACAAGCAAUUCCAAGAAAAAGUGAAAAAGGUAUCUCCAAUCUGAUGGUGCAUGAUUCUGCUAAUACACAUUUUUCAAGACAUGGCAGUGAACUGGCAGCCAAAGCAUGCUCUAGUCAAAUGUCAUUGCCAGUCGAUGGUGAUACGGUCAGUCAUGUAUCUCUGCAACGUGAUUCAUGUUCUAGUCCACCAUGCGUGGACAAGAUUCAUCCCUCUUCAAACAAAAUGUAUUCUCCAAAAGCUGAACAAUUUUCUCCAAGAUCUUGCUGUAUGGGUGGACCUAAGCAAAAUGAUUUUUCCAUGAAAUCUGAUAUUAAAAUUGAAGAAUGCAGAACUGUCAACAAUGCACAGAGCCUCGUUUGUGAUGGACAACUUAAAGAAGCUAUAGAAGUUCCAAAGGAACAGGAUGAUGUUCUUAAGACUAAUAUGGACUCAAGUUUUAGUUCUUACGAAGGUGUGUCUACAAGCAUGAAUGCAGCUGAAAUUCAAUCUGAAUCCUGUGCAAAUGAGGUGCUUGGGCAUACAAAAUAUAGCAGCUCUCAAGGUGGCGCUGAACAUGAAAGCAUAGAUAAAGAUUUUAACUCAGUCCGGAAAGAAUGUGCAUCUCCUUUGGAUAGAAGUCAUCCUGCAGUGCUGGAAAACUGGCAUAAAUAAAAUCACUUCUUCUGCAGUUAAUUGUUAAAACAUGGUGCUAUAAAAUGGCGGCAGGCAAGAAGUACUCGCUGCAUCAUCAGCUUCAUCUGUAGCACGCAUUCUUGGCAGAGCGUUGAGGUCUGGGAAGGAAGGUUGUGCAUUGCCCUGGCCAUAAGCAUCUUGAUUAACAGGGGUUUGCUGGGGAGGUGCCCUAGUAUCUACAUGCUCAUGCCCCAGCAAAACUAUGCAGGUUUUCUCUUAGGUUGCUUUGGUAAACUACAGCAAUCAUUCUUUGAAGUAAAACUCGGUACUGUAACUGGGUACUUCCAUCAUUGUAAUUUUAUGUACACACGGAUGUAUCAAGCCCAUUAUCAUGGAAUAGUUUAUUUGAUCAUGGAAUAUGUGAUUAUAUUUCAUAUAUAGAUCAGAUUUUCGUGAUGAUUUAAUUGAAGGGCUUCAUUUUUUCAGUGUACAUGAUUGUGCCUAUUGUUUCAUUAUUAUUUUUCCUACUGGUUCUUAGUCCACAAUCUCUAAUUUUUUUUCCCCUGUUAGACCGGGAGUAAUUGAUCCAUAUUUUGUAAAGAUUGCCUCACCACAUGGGCUUUCUUAAGAGAUAAAGCGAUAGAUUGAGCAUGUACCAUUUCUUGUAGAAAUCUUCAGAGUAAGAUCGUGUCAUUCAAAUUAGAUUGUCUAAGAGAUGGAAUACAUUGUAUUGUACUUUAGUGCACCUCCAUGGUACAGAUAACUCUUUCGAGCAUAGAAUCUAUCAUGCUGAGAGGGAGUAAAAUUUCCAUUUGCAUGCUUGAUAUUUUAAUAGCCUUGUGAGCUGUGUAGCUUCCCAGUGAGGUAUUUUGUCAAUUGAAGCAAAUCCACUACACUAUUGGAAGGGUUUGCAGUUUUGAUGUUUCAGAAAUGUCAUGUUUCCAAAUCUUGUUAUCUUUAUGUU